UAAGAUUUUUGUCAGUAUGUUUUUUAACUUGUUUAUCAAUUUAUAAGUUUAAUUGGUCAUUUAAUUUUCAAUUUAAUUAGCAAUUUAGAUCGUUAUCUGCAGAUGACUACUGCUCGAACACACAGCGGGACUAAUCCUAGAAUCAACCAAUCACUCCUAGAGUCCUGACCUUAAGAAACUAAGAAAGACAAAGAAUGUUUGGUGUUUUAAGCUGUUAAAAACAGGAGUAAUAUGUUAUACAGCAACAGAAACAAUUAUUAUUCAAAGAAUUUGGAUCUCUAUGACAAGCCAUCCAACUUUUAGCUUUCCAUCU
rnacentral:lncRNA from 1 species